rnacentral:lncRNA from 1 species
AUGUCUCAUUUAUGCUGUUCUAUUUUUUUUUUGUACCCGUCAUUUGUUGAAGUUUGCGUGAAACACCCAGCAACUGUUGGUGUGAUUGUAUGGACCACAGAUGCUUGGUGUCUUCUGGGAUGGAGAUGUGUCCAGUCCUCGGAAACACCAUUCUGCUGUGGUUGGCUCACCAAGUGUGUUCAGCUCUUUCCAAGAGUGUUGAAAUCUGCCGAGAUUUAUUUUCAUGAAGGCCAGACUACAGCCCAGCAGCACGAAGAAUUCCGCCUCAAACAUCCACCUCACCUCACCUUUGAUCUCUGCAGUCAGGGUCUCAUCUUGUAAACAGACAUUACAG